rnacentral:rRNA from 1 species
CCUACGGGUGACAGCAGUGAGGAAUAUUGGUCAAUGGACGAGAGUCUGAACCAGCCAAGUGGCGUGAAGGAUGACUGUCCUAUGGGUUGUAAACUUCUUUUAUAUGGAAAUAAAAUGUUCCACCUGCGGGACUUUGUAUGUACCAUAUGUAUAAGGAUCGGCUAACCCCGUGCCAGCAGCCGCGGCAAUACGGAGGGUCCGAUCGUUAUCCGGAUUUAUUGGGUUUAAAGGGAGCGUAGGUGGAUUGUUAAGUCAGUUGUGAAAGUUUGCGGCUCAACCGUAAAAUUGCAGUUGAAACUGGCAGUCUGGAGUACAGUAGAGGUGAGCGGAAUUCGUGGUGUAGGGGUGAAAUGCUUAGAUAUCACGAAGAACUCCGAUUGCGAAGGCAGCUCACUGGACUGCAACUGACACUGAGGCUCGAAAGUGUGGGUAUCAAACAGGAUUAGAUACCCCAGUAGUC